GUGAACGCUGGCGGCGUGGCUAAAACAUGCAAGUCGAACGAGAACCCCGCAAGGGGGGACAGUGGCGGAAGGGUUAGUAAUAGUAUCGAAUGUACCCCGAGGUGGGGGAUAGCGGUGGGAAACUGCCGGUAAUACCCCAUGAUCUCUCCGGAGCAAAGGUUUACCGCCUUGGGAGCAGCGAUACGCCUAUCAGGUAGUUGGCGGGGUAAUGGCCCACCAAGCCGAAGACGGGUAGCGGGUGUGAGAGCACGACCCGCAACAUCGGGACUGAGACACUGCCCGGACUCCUACGGGAGGCUGCAGUAACGAAUAUUCCGCAAUGCGCGAAAGCGUGACGGAGCGACGCCGCGUGCAGGAUGAAGCGGUUACGCCGUGUAAACUGCUGUCAGGGGCAAGAAAUACUGAUCUGCCCCAGAGGAAGGGCCGGCUAACCCUGU
rnacentral:rRNA from 1 species